CAGGGAAUAUUGCGCAAUGGGCGAAAGCCUGACGCAGUAACGCCGCGUGGGGGGAUGACGGCCUUCGGGUUGUAAACCCCUUCAGUCAGGGCAGCGAAUUGAAUCGGUGACCUGCAGAAGAAGCACCGGCCAACUACGUGCCAGCAGCCGCGGUAACACGUAGGGUGCAAGCGUUGUCCGGAUUCAUUGGGCGUAAAGGGCUAGUAGGCGGCUUAGCAAGUCGGGUGUGAAAACUUCAGGCUCAACCUGGAGCGGCCAUCCGAUACUGCUAUGGCUAGAGUCCGGUAGGGGACCACGGAAUUCCUGGUGUAGCGGUGAAAUGCGCAGAUAUCAGGAGGAACACCGAUGGCGAAGGCAGUGGUCUUGGGCCGGAACUGACGCUGAAUAGCGAAAGCGUGGGUAGCGAACA
rnacentral:rRNA from 1 species